rnacentral:rRNA from 1 species
CCUACGGGAGGCAGCAGUGAGGAAUAUUGGUCAAUGGGAGAGAUCCUGAACCAGCCAAGCCGCGUGAGGGAAGACGGCCCUAUGGGUUGUACACCUCUUUUGUCGGAGAACAAAACCCGGGACGAGUCCCGGACUGCGUGUAUCCGAAGACAAAGCAUCGGCUAACUCCGUGCCAGCAGCCGCGGUAAUACGGAGGAUGCGAGCGUUAUCCGGAUUUAUUGGGUUUAAAGGGUGCGUAGGCGGUCUGUUAAGGCAGCGGGAAAAUUGCGGGGCUCAACCCCGGCGAGCCGUUGACACUGGCAGACUUGAGUGGGCGAGAAGUAGGCGGAAGGCGCGGUGUAGCGGUGAAAUGCAUAGAUAUCGGGCAGAACUCCGAUUGCGAAGGCAGCGUACCGGCGCCAGACUGACGCUGAGGCACGAAAGCGUGGGGAUCGAACAGGAUUAGAUACCCCUGUAGUC